rnacentral:rRNA from 1 species
AGUGGCGGACGGGUGAGUAACGCGUGAGAAUCUACCUUCAGGACGGGGACAACAGCUGGAAACGGCUGCUAAUACCCGAUAUGCCGAAAGGUGAAAAGUUUUUUCGCCUGGAGAGGAGCUCGCGUCCGAUUAGCUAGUUGGUGAGGUAAAAGCUUACCAAGGCGACGAUCGGUGGCUGGUCUGAGAGGAUGAGCAGCCACACUGGAACUGAGACACGGUCCAGACUCCUACGGGAGGCAGCAGUGGGGAAUUUUCCGCAAUGGGCGAAAGCCUGACGGAGCAACGCCGCGUGGGGGAAGAAGGUUUUUGGAUUGUAAACCCCUUUUCUCAAGGAAGAACAAAAUGACGGUACUUGAGGAAUCAGCCUCGGCUAACUCCGUGCCAGCAGCCGCGGUAAUACGGAGGAGGCAAGCGUUAUCCGGAAUUAUUGGGCGUAAAGCGUUCGUAGGCGGCUGUUCAAGUCUGCUGUCAAAGACCGAGGCUCAACCUCGGGUAGGCAGUGGAAACUGGAUAGCUAGAGGUCGGUAGGGGCAGAGGGAAUUCCCAGUGUAGCGGUGAAAUGCGUAGAUAUUGGGAAGAACACCGGUGGCGAAAGCGCUCUGCUGGGCCGAACCUGACGCUGAGGGACGAAAGCUAGGGGAGCGAAUGGGAUUAGAUACCCC